rnacentral:rRNA from 1 species
UGGCAAGUCGAGCGGUAGCACAGGGAGCUUGCUCCUGGGUGACGAGCGGCGGACGGGUGAGUAAUGUCUGGGAAACUGCCUGAUGGAGGGGGAUAACUACUGGAAACGGUAGCUAAUACCGCAUAACGUCUACGGACCAAAGUGGGGGACCUUCGGGCCUCAUGCCAUCAGAUGUGCCCAGAUGGGAUUAGCUAGUAGGUGGGGUAAUGGCUCACCUAGGCGACGAUCCCUAGCUGGUCUGAGAGGAUGACCAGCCACACUGGAACUGAGACACGGUCCAGACUCCUACGGGAGGCAGCAGUGGGGAAUAUUGCACAAUGGGCGCAAGCCUGAUGCAGCCAUGCCGCGUGUGUGAAGAAGGCCUUCGGGUUGUAAAGCACUUUCAGCGAGGAGGAAGGGUUCAGUGUUAAUAGCACUGUGCAUUGACGUUACUCGCAGAAGAAGCACCGGCUAACUCCGUGCCAGCAGCCGCGGUAAUACGGAGGGUGCAAGCGUUAAUCGGAAUUACUGGGCGUAAAGCGCACGCAGGCGGUUUGUUAAGUCAGAUGUGAAAUCCCCGCGCUUAACGUGGGAACUGCAUUUGAAACUGGCAAGCUAGAGUCUUGUAGAGGGGGGUAGAAUUCCAGGUGUAGCGGUGAAAUGCGUAGAGAUCUGGAGGAAUACCGGUGGCGAAGGCGGCCCCCUGGACAAAGACUGACGCUCAGGUGCGAAAGCGUGGGGAGCAAACAGGAUUAGAUACCCUGGUAGUCCACGCUGUAAACGAUGUCGACUUGGAGGUUGUGCCCUUGAGGCGUGGCUUCCGGAGCUAACGCGUUAAGUCGACCGCCUGGGGAGUACGGCCGCAAGGUUAAAACUCAAAUGAAUUGACGGGGGCCCGCACAAGCGGUGGAGCAUGUGGUUUAAUUCGAUGCAACGCGAAGAACCUUACCUACUCUUGACAUCCAGAGAAUUCGCUAGAGAUAGCUUAGUGCCUUCGGGAACUCUGAGACAGUGCUGCAUGGGCUGUCGUCAGCUCGUGUUGUGAAAUGUUGGGUUAAGUCCCGCAACGAGCGCAACCUUUAUCUUUGGUGCAGCACGUUAAUGGGAUGGCAACUCAAGGAAAAACCUAUCCGG